rnacentral:tRNA from 1 species
GGCAGGGUAGCUCAGCUGGUAGAGCAGAGGACUCAUAAGCCUUUGGUCAGGGGUUCGAUUCCCCUCCCUGCCACCA